rnacentral:rRNA from 1 species
CCUACGGGUGGCAGCAGUGGGGAAUAUUGGGCAAUGGGCGCAAGCCUGACCCAGCAAUGCCGCGUGAAGGAAGAAGGCUUUCGGGUUGUAAACUUCCUUGACAGAGGAAGUGCAGAAGACGGUACCCUGAAAACAAGCCACGGCUAACUACGUGCCAGCAGCCGCGGUAAUACGUAGGUGGCAAGCGUUGUCCGGAUUUACUGGGUGUAAAGGGCGUGUAGCCGGGAAGGCAAGUCAGAUGUGAAAGCCGGAGGCUCAACCUCCGAAUUGCAUUUGAAACUGGUUUUCUUGAGUACUGGGGAGGCAGACGGAAUUCCUUGUGUAGCGGUGAAAUGCGUAGAUAUUACGAGGAACACCAGUGGCGAAGGCGGCUUACUGGACGACAACUGACACUGAUGCUCGAAAGCGUGGGGAGCAAACAGGAUUAGAUACCCGUGUAGUC